rnacentral:rRNA from 1 species
GCGUUGUCCGGAAUUAUUGGGCGUAAAGAGCUCGUAGGCGGCCAGUUACGUCCGCUGUGAAAUCCCGGGGCUCAACCCCGGGCGUGCAGUGGAUACGGGUUGGCUGGAGGCAGGCAGGGGAGAACGGAAUUCCUGGUGUAGCGGUGAAAUGCGCAGAUAUCAGGAGGAACACCGGUGGCGAAGGCGGUUCUCUGGGCCUGUUCUGACGCUGAGGAGCGAAAGCGUG